rnacentral:rRNA from 1 species
UACGUAGGGGGGCAAGCGUUGUCCGGAAUCAUUGGGCGUAAAGCGCGUGUAGGCGGCCCGGUAAGUCCGCUGUGAAAGUCGGGGGCUCAACCCUCGAAUGCCGGUGGAUACUGUCGAACUAGAGUGCGGAAGAGGCGAGUGGAAUUCCUGGUGUAGCGGUGAAAUGCGCAGAUAUCAGGAGGAACACCAAUUGCGAAGGCAGCUCGCUGGGACGUAACUGACGCUGAGACGCGAAAGCGUGGGGAGCAAACAGG